rnacentral:lncRNA from 1 species
ACGUUUCAUGAUCAUUAGACUCAUGCGAUUUGAGCGUUCCCACUUCUCCAUCUCCUUCUUUUGAUUAGAAGAAGAUGUAUCCUCAAGAGAAGCAGGUUUCUCAAUCCGAAGUGCAAUGUCUAGAUCCAUGCAACCAAGAACGAUAAUAAUGUUCUCUUUCCAUUCCUUAAAGUUUGUGCCGUUAAGCACAGGGUUGCUGUUAAUGUUUGAAGAUAUCGUAGCAGCUGAAGAAUUCACUGAAUAUAGAACAAGGAUAACUUAAUACAUGCUUACAAUUACUUGAACUUUAACUUUAGUUUACAGAUUCAAAAUAGGCAN